AAGUCGUAACAAGGUAUCCGUAGGUGAACCUGCGGAUGGAUCAUUAUAGGGUGUUGGGUAAUUGUGAGUGGUUUUAUUAUUAGUUUGAGCGGUGUUGGUUGGGAUGCGAAGCAGGAUUGCCAAGCAGGAUUGCCAUGCAAGACAGCCAACAUUGCCUCACGUUAAACUCUAUAAAUCUAACAAUUACAUACAAAAAAAAACAACUUUUAGCAACGGAUCUCUUGGCUCUC
rnacentral:misc_RNA from 1 species